rnacentral:rRNA from 1 species
UGAGCAAUCUGCCCUUCACAUCGGAAUAACCAUUGGAAACGAUGGCUAAUACCGAAUAUGACUUCGGAUCGCAUGAUCUGAAGUGGAAAGCUCCGGCGGUGAAGGAUGAGCUCGCGGCCUAUCAGCUUGUUGGUGAGGUAAUAGCUCACCAAGGCGAUGACGGGUAGCCGGCCUGAGAGGGUGACCGGCCACACUGGGACUGAGACACGGCAGA